CACGUAGGGGGCGAGCGUUUGUCCGGAUUUAUUGGGCGUAAAGAGCUCGUAGGCGGUUCGAUAAGUCGGGUGUGAAAACUCUGGCUCAACUCAGAGACGCCACCCGAUACUGUUGUGACUUGAGUCCGGUAGGGGAGUAUGGAAUUCCCGGUGUAGCGGUGAAAUGCGCAGAUAUCAGGAGGAACACCGAUUGCGAAGGCAGCUCGCUGGGACGUAACUGACGCUGAGACGCGAAAGCGUGGGGAGCAAACAGG
rnacentral:rRNA from 1 species